rnacentral:misc_RNA from 1 species
AAGCUUUUAGGCUUUACGUGAACGAUGUUUAACCCGUUUCGGCAUCCUAUGCUAAGGUUUUCUAUAUUUGUUUUUUUAUAUAUCUGAUCUUCAUGUUGUCUUUUUGGAUUGAUUUCAUUCUUUUGUAUUUAAAUAACAACAUUUUUCUUUAGUUUAGGAGAAGAUGAUGAGCCAAGUUUUCCGAUUGGAAUUGGAUCAUCUCAAUAUAAUGGUGGACCCCCUCAUGGUAUACUAAUGAUUGGAAGCAAUGGUGGACCCACUCAUGGUAUGCUAAUGAUUCGAAGUCGGGAAUACAAAUGUCACAGGGGGCACAAUCAUAAUGAUCAAGGAGAAGUUGAACACUGUAACCGAAUGUCAAUGAUGACUUUACUAGCAUCAAAACCUAACAGAUGUCAUCAAGGACAUGAACAUGCCAACUCGAGAGAAGUAACAGAAUGUAACGAACUGGAAGAGAAAAUUCAGAGAAUGAGAACAGAGUCCUCAGCUUCGGAACUGCGCUUUAGACAAACAAUCACCGAUAGAGAUGGUAGAACUAUCCAGAAUGAAAUUGAGUACAGAGGAAAUCCAGAGCGAUUGCGAGGAUUGUUUGGAAACAACCCUGCCCUUGGACAAUCUGGCGGGAUGAGUCUGUCCAACUUUCCAUUCAAUUAGUCCUGGCCACGAAAUGUAAAUGCUGAAAUCUUUUGUGACAGAAAGCUGAGAAGAAACCCUCUUUGAUAAUUACAAAAGACUAAUUUGAAAGUUUUCAAUCAAAGAACAGAUUUAUGGAGAACUGUGUUGAUUACUUUUCUUUGCAAAAUAAUCAUAUUAUGUAUGUUACCUGCUAAUUUGUAUUGUGUUCAAUAUUGAUACCUGUAUUAUACCUCAAAUAAACUCUCUAAAAUGU